rnacentral:lncRNA from 1 species
GAGGAAGUGGGAGUCGGGCGCGCAGCAGGAAAGAAUGAGAGGCAACGCCUGAAGCACACGGUGACGGGGAGUGAGGAGAGCGAUUUUUGAGCGCGUGCAGCGCCGGUUGUUACGUGAUGUGGAGCUUUGGGAGCGAUGGGUACAGCGCAAAGUCGCGGCGGCAGCGGGGACUCAAAGAAGGCAGGGGUUCGCCGGUAGGAGGUCACGGGGAGCAAACGCAGGGCGAGCGAAACCGGCUCGUUGAUAAGAAGCGCACGCGAGCAGGUGAGUCGAGCCACUAUGGAAAGUGCCGCUCGCUGUCGCUCCAAGCGCGGGUGCGUGCGCAUAUCCCACUCGAGUGAAACCCGACCAUGGGACUCGUCGUCCGCAUUAUAGAGCGCCCCUUGGCAGCGACAGGCGACCCGCGACUAUUUGGGCUGGGCGUCGAUACAAGGCGUGUAACAACGUCCAGGUAUGACGCACUGCUGCUGUCUGACAGCGCGCCCGCACACAUGUUAUCUGCAUCAGCCGUCGAAGCGCCAAACUCGAUCUACCUCUGCUCUUCCCCGCAUGCGGUCGCAGCUGUACACUUACACGCACUGGCGCUCGAAGCAACUGCAAGCACGGCCACCAGGGCCAGAGCCAUCGCGGGGCUCGGCAUAGUGUCAGAGAGCCGCAGCUGUCUGCACUCAUGUGUGCAAGCAAUGGGUGCACGCACACG